ACGCAUAAGAAUUUGUUGCACCAGGUUUGUUUAGUGUUGCUCUCUUUCCUUUUAGCUGCUUUAGUCAAGGAAACUAUACUAUUAGUGUCUCCUUUUAUGUGGUUCACUUAAUCUAUUAAAUUAUUGAAUAAUGCAAAAUAUUUUGUAAAAAACAAAAAUUUAGCUAUUGAGGACCUGUUUUUACAGGGCUAGCAAUUGGGAUUAGUUAAAGCCUAAGAAUUACUUGUAUCAUGAUUAAUGGUUUGGGUUCCAGAUCGUCUUUGUUUCUAAUCUAGAGAUUCUGAAUAGCCUUAUGUACUGUAGAACUAGCCUUGUUAAGUUAUGCAACUUACUCUAUCUACUCGUUAUUAAUCUGUUUGAAGCACAGGAAUCUAGAAAUUCCACAAAGCCGCUUGCUUCUUUCUUUGUCGUCUAUCUAAAUACUCUCAAAAUAGUACAAUAGCUAUCCAUUUUGCAACUAGUUUGCUUUGUCUCGAAGAGAAACUGUUGUUAAAUCAUUAAAUAAUGUCAUAUCUUUCAUAAUUCAGAAUAAGAUAAAUGUAUCAUAUAUAGAUAUGUAGAAGUAAAGAUGGGAGGGGGAACAUUUGAAAGGACCAAAAAGUGCACGGUUAAAUUAUAAUAAUUACAAAAAAACAGACUAAUAUAAAUGAAAAUCUAAACUUAACUUUUAAUCUAUACAAACAACCAAACAUAUCUAAAGAUUUGGUCCACUAACUUUGAGUCUUGUAGAUUCUACAUUGUGGCAAUUAACCAUUAGUGAUUUUGAAAAUCUAGUUGCAAAGAACAUGCCAAAACUCAAUGUUUUACCUUAUGUUGACAACGGUAUUGAUCGGCAUAGCCAAAGUCGGUAAUGUGCUCACAAUCCAAUCAAAUCCUUUCAAUUUCUCUAUUAAUAAAAAUAUUUGUAUUUUAUUUGCUAAAAAAUUCAAUUUCAAUAUGUGAAAACCAAAAAUAUAAAAUCAUUUGACAUUAUUUUGGCAUGUGAUAAUUGAUCUACUUUGAAUAAUUUGCUGGUUUUUCACCUUAUAGUGCUCCGCCACCAAAUUAUAUAUUUGAUACAUUGACAAUUUUAAAGGGAAUGGUUGCUUUGGAGGUUUGAACUCUUGACCUCUUACAAUAUGAGGUAGGCACUCAAUCACUAGCCCAAUUGCCACCACCAUAUAUAUUUUUUUUUCUAGUAAAACACUACUUUUGACCCCUUGAUUUGCAUAAGUCACUUUUCUUGCUUAGCUUUGGAUCAAGUAGCAAAAAACCAUCAACCAUGUGUUAAGGUGAUCCUUUUGUAAAUGGAUGCUCUUUUUACACUUGUAGUCUCUGAAGGAUGAGAACCAACUAUGUAAUUUUUACAUUGAGAAUUUAAGUAUUGUAUAAGUCAUUUGUUCGAUAUUUUGUAGGACCUACUCAUAAUUUUUGAGAUAUCAAUUCUUUUCUUAUUAUACUACUU
rnacentral:misc_RNA from 1 species